ACGUAGGGGGCAAGCGUUAUCCGGAUUUACUGGGUGUAAAGGGAGCGUAGACGGUGUGGCAAGUCUGAUGUGAAAGGCAUGGGCUCAACCUGUGGACUGCAUUGGAAACUGUCAUACUUGAGUGCUGGAGGGGUAAGCGGAAUUCCUAGUGUAGCGGUGAAAUGCGUAGAUAUUAGGAGGAACACCAGUGGCGAAGGCGGCUUACUGGACGGUAACUGACGUUGAGGCUCGAAAGCGUGGGGAGCAAACAG
rnacentral:rRNA from 1 species